rnacentral:rRNA from 1 species
AAUAUUUCACAAUGGGCGAAAGCCUGAUCCAGCCAUGCCGCGUGUGUGAAGAAGGUCUUCGGAUUGUAAUGCACUUGAAGUUGGGAGGAAGGGUUGUAGGUUAAUACCCUGCAAUUUUGACGUUACCAACAGAAUAAGCACCGGCUCACUUCGUGCCAGCAGUCGUGGUAAUACGAAGGGUGCAAGCGUUAAUCGGAAUUAUUGGGCGUAACGCGCGCGUAGGUGGUUCUUUAAGUUGGAAGUUAAAGCCCCGGGCUUAACCUGGGAAUUGCUUUCAAAACUGACGAGCUAGAGUACGGUAGAGGGUAGUGGAAUUUCCUGUGUAGCGGUGAAAUGCGUAGAUAUAGGAAGGAACAUCAGUGGCGAAGGCGACUACCUGGACUGAUACUGACACUGAGGUGCGAAAGCGUGGGGAGCAAACAGG